rnacentral:rRNA from 1 species
UACAGAGGGUGCGAGCGUUGUCCGGAAUCACUGGGCGUAAAGGGCGCGUAGGUGGUGACCUAAGCCUGCGGUGAAAGCCCGAGUCUCAACCUCGGGUCGGCCGUGCGAACUGGGUCACUGGAGCAGAAUAGAGGCAGGUGGAAUUCCGGGUGUAGCGGUGGAAUGCGUAGAGAUCCGGAAGAACACCGGUGGCGAAGGCGGCCUGCUGGGUUCUGGCUGACACUGAGGCGCGACAGCGUGGGGAGCAAACAGG